rnacentral:rRNA from 1 species
UAGGGAAUCUUCGGCAAUGGGGGCAACCCUGACCGAGCAACGCCGCGUGAGUGAAGAAGGUUUUCGGAUCGUAAAGCUCUGUUGUAAGUCAAGAACGAGUGUGAGAGUGGAAAGUUCACACUGUGACGGUAGCUUACCAGAAAGGGACGGCUAACUACGUGCCAGCAGCCGCGGUAAUACGUAGGUCCCGAGCGUUGUCCGGAUUUAUUGGGCGUAAAGCGAGCGCAGGCGGUUUGAUAAGUCUGAAGUUAAAGGCUGUGGCUCAACCAUAGUUCGCUUUGGAAACUGUCAAACUUGAGUGCAGAAGGGGAGAGUGGAAUUCCAUGUGUAGCGGUGAAAUGCGUAGAUAUAUGGAGGAACACCGGUGGCGAAAGCGGCUCUCUGGUCUGUAACUGACGCUGAGGCUCGAAAGCGUGGGGAGCGAACAGGAUCAGAUACCCUGGUAGUCCACGCCGUAAACGAUGAGUGCUAGGUGUUGGAUCCUUUCCGGGAUUCAGUGCCGCAGCUAACGCAUUAAGCACUCCGCCUGGGGAGUACGACCGCAAGGUUG